AGCUGACUAUGCCUCCCCGCAUCCCCUAGGGCAUGGGUGUAAAAGCUGGAGACCCACUGCCCCAGGUGCUGCUGGGGGUUGUAGUCUGA
rnacentral:pre_miRNA from 1 species